rnacentral:rRNA from 1 species
UUUGAUCAUGGCUCAGAUUGAACGCUGGCGGCAUGCCUUACACAUGCAAGUCGAACGGCAGCGCGGGAGCAAUCCUGGCGGCGAGUGGCGAACGGGUGAGUAAUACAUCGGAACGUGCCCAAUCGUGGGGGAUAACGCAGCGAAAGCUGUGCUAAUACCGCAUACGAUCUACGGAUGAAAGCAGGGGAUCGCAAGACCUUGCGCGAAUGGAGCGGCCGAUGGCAGAUUAGGUAGUUGGUGAGGUAAAGGCUCACCAAGCCUUCGAUCUGUAGCUGGUCUGAGAGGACGACCAGCCACACUGGGACUGAGACACGGCCCAGACUCCUACGGGAGGCAGCAGUGGGGAAUUUUGGACAAUGGGCGAAGGCCUGAUCCAGCCAUGCCGCGUGCAGGAUGAAGGCCUUCGGGUUGUAAACUGCUUUUGUACGGAACGAAACGGCCUUUUCUAAUAAAGAGGGCUAAUGACGGUACCGUAAGAAUAAGCACCGGCUAACUACGUGCCAGCAGCCGCGGUAAUACGUAGGGUGCAAGCGUUAAUCGGAAUUACUGGGCGUAAAGCGUGCGCAGGCGGUUAUGUAAGACAGUUGUGAAAUCCCCGGGCUCAACCUGGGAACUGCAUCUGUGACUGCAUAGCUAGAGUACGGUAGAGGGGGAUGGAAUUCCGCGUGUAGCAGUGAAAUGCGUAGAUAUGCGGAGGAACACCGAUGGCGAAGGCAAUCCCCUGGACCUGUACUGACGCUCAUGCACGAAAGCGUGGGAGCAAACAGGAUUAGAUACCCUGGUAGUCCACGCCCUAAACGAUGUCAACUGGUUGUUGGGUCUUCACUGACUCAGUAACGAAGCUAACGCGUGAAGUUGACCGCCUGGGGAGUACGGCCGCAAGGUUGAAACUCAAAGGAAUUGACGGGGACCCGCACAAGCGGUGGAUGAUGUGGUUUAAUUCGAUGCAACGCGAAAAACCUUACCCACCUUUGACAUGUACGGAAUUCGCCAGAGAUGGCUUAGUGCUCGAAAGAGAACCGUAACACAGGUGCUGCAUGGCUGUCGUCAGCUCGUGUCGUGGGAUGUUGGGUUAAGUCCCGCAACGAGCGCAACCCUUGUCAUUAGUUGCUACAUUCAGUUGGGCACUCUAAUGAGACUGCCGGUGACAAACCGGAGGAAGGUGGGGAUGACGUCAAGUCCUCAUGGCCCUUAUAGGUGGGGCUACACACGUCAUACAAUGGCUGGUACAAAGGGUUGCCAACCCGCGAGGGGGAGCUAAUCCCAUAAAACCAGUCGUAGUCCGGAUCGCAGUCUGCAACUCGACUGCGUGAAGUCGGAAUCGCUAGUAAUCGUGGAUCAGAAUGUCACGGUGAAUACGUUCCCGUGUCUUGUACACACCGCCCGUCACACCAUGGGAGCGGGUUCUGCCAGAAGUAGUUAGCUUAACCGCAAGGAGGGCGAUUACCACGGCAGGGUUCGUGACUGGGGUGAAGUCGUAACAAGGUA